rfam:Gossypium hirsutum cultivar TM-1 chromosome 1, whole genome shotgun sequence
UUAGCGGCGCUUUUUAGCGCCAUUAAAACAAUUUGCGGCGUUUUU